AAACAAGGGAGAGAAAUGCAUCCAUAUUUUGACCAUUAAGGAUAAUGAUGCUAUGAACAGUGGUGCACAAGUUUUUGUGUGGAGAUGUAUUUUCAAUUUUCUUUAGUAAAAAUGUAGGAAAGGAACUGUUGGGUCAUAAGGUAACUUUAACUUUUUGAGACAUUGCCAAACUGUUUGUUACAGUGGUGUGUUCAGACCAACUUUUGUCACCGUGAGCAAUGUUUACAUUUCUCCAUAUCCUCACCGUUUAUUAAUCUGCCUUUUUCAUUUCAACCAUCAUAAUGGGUAUGAAGUACCCUUCAUUGUGGUUUUGAUUUGUGUUUCCCUAAUGACUAAUGUGAAGAGCAGUUUUAUUUGUUUAUGGGCUAUUUAUAAAUGUUCUUUCCUAGAUAUAACUAUUCAAAGUCUUUGAUCAUACCUUAAGUAGAUUCAUUGUCUUUAUAUAGUUUAUACUAAACCCUCGUCAGAUAUAUGAUGUUCAAAUAUUUUCUUCUUGCAGUUCUGGGAAUUGAACCCAGGGCCUUGUAUAAACUGGGAAAGAGGAAUACAACUUUAUUACUGCCGGGUGGGAGUAUAUGUCCAAGUUCCUGCUCAGUUUCCAUGGCACCCCAAGAGUGGUUCUCCUUACUGCUGUUGAGUGGGGAUGAUUUUUUCAUGUCUCACCAGGCCUCCUCUGAUACCACUCCAGUGAAUGUACCUCCGUACUGUCAGGUGAGCAUGGAAGCCCACGGGCUUCCAUGAUCUCACUGACAUUAAGGUGUUGAGAUAUUAAAUGUUAGAAUUAUCUGACAGGGAUUUUAAAGCAGCCAUCAUAACAGUGCCUCAGCAAGUAAUUACAAAACACUUGGAACAAAACCCAGAGUCUCAUCAAAUAAAUAUAAGACAGAAAGAUAACGAAAGGAUAUUUUACAAUUAUAAAAUACAAAACCCCAAAUAUAAAACUCAACAGUGAGUUCAACAACAGAGUGGAGGGGAGAGAGGAAAGAAGCAGUGAACUCAUAUAAAGUACUGAAAAGAAUGUAAAUUGACCUAAUGCACAUGGAGGGCAGUAGGAUGAACAGAUAUGAUCACUUUUGAAAAUAAUUUGAUGUCUUUUGUUGUUGUGGUUCUGUUAAACAUUUACAUGCCCUUUAAUCCUAGUAAUUCUACUCUAAUGUAUAAACUCCAAAAAAAUUUUUUUUGCACAUAAACAACAGGUGAUAUAUAGAUAAAACUUUUAUAACAGCAAUAUUCUUACCCUACCUAGUAUGUCAGGAGGAGAAUGGAUAAUAAAUCAUGCUUUGUUUACACAA